CCCGCAUUCUCCACCAUAUGUGACAAACUUACUUUCCUGUGUGUGUUUGUCCAGGAUCUUUUGGCAACCGCACAGCCCUCUAGGGUAAGAAAACCAGGUCAAGACAAAGUCCAGUUUCAAAAAGGCCUCUAGUCUGUUUAUUUUCUGUUGUUGUGAAGUAACAGGAUACAAUUAACAGCAAAUCUUCUUUCUCCACAAAACACCUUCUUUCUCCUCCAAAACACAUCCCUCACUUCACCCUGCUUUAACUGCAGUUAUAUAGCUGCUCACAGCCCCUACAGGUGAGGCUAAUGACCUCGUUAGGCAGUGAUCCAGAACUCUAUGGAAAACCUGGGCUGGACUCAUGCACAACCACUCUGACAGUGGGUGGAGAAUCGGCCCACCCUGCUCUUCCGAAUACUCCACCCCAGGGACCCAAAUAACAACAGAGGAAAAAACAUACAUUUAAACUUAACUUUCCCUGGGGCUGCAUGUGCUUACCCACAUGUCAGGAUAGUGGCUGUGCAAAAGUCUGGGUGCCAGAUAUACACCCCUGACCACCAUCCCCAACACUCUGUUACAAUAUAUAUAUAUAUAUAUAUAUAUAUAUAUAUAUAUAUACACACAUACAUAUAUACUUUCCCUUCUGGGAGUUUUUCUGUCAAACCACAUAUGUGCCACACUUGUUGAACUUUCUAUUUAUGCAGUUUUAAUUUUUAAUGCUUAAGGAACAUUAUAAACAACUAAACCACUUCAUGUAAGUGGUCUAGGUGCCAUGCCCAUUUUGUUUUAACCCUGCAACUGAAAACAUUGCCAUUCUGCAGGAACAGCAAUAUUCACAUUGCAGGAAUAAAAUGCUUCCACUGAAAUAGUAAGUGAAGCUCGGCUAUUGAAUCAGAUGGUCUUAAGGUACAGUCAUAAGCGUGCGCACGGGGUGUGCCAGGUGUGCCUGGGCACACCCUAAUCCCUGCAGCACGCCUAUGGAUUGAGACUGGCAGGGGAGAUCCCCUGUCGGCUCAUGCAGAGCCGGCGCUAUCUGAGUGCCGGCUCUGCUCUAAGCCUCCAUAGGCCGGUGGGGCGAUCAAAGAUCUCCCUCACCGACCCACAGCUGCAUGGAGGGAGGCAGGAGAGGACCCGGGGAGCUCUAGCCAGCAGCUCCGCCGGUUUCCUCUUGCGAGGUCGGAGUGUUGCCGCGGCAACGCUCAGAUCUCACGAGGGUAAACUCGAGCCCCGCAGGCUGCGGGGCUAGAGUUCACUCACCCCUGGAUCACCAGGGAUGGCAGCAGCAUGGUCCCCCCUCCCUACAUAAGGUAAGAAGGGAGGGGGGAUAUUAACUAAUCUGCACCCACAAUCACCCAAACACACACACACAGCACACACAUACAGCACCCACACACAUACAGCAAACUAACAGUACCCUCACAAACACACCACACCCACACACAGCACACAAACAGCACCCUGUCAGGAACCAGGAACCAGACAGAGACAGAUCUAGAUGCAAAAACACCUUUAUUUAAUAAAUAACAAAGAAAUAAGCAAAAACAAAGUCCAGGAGGCAAGCAGGGGGUCAGUCACCAGAGCGGGUAAUCAGACGAGCCAGGAUCAGGAGAACAGAGGGCAGCGGAGUCAGGAACAAGGCCAGAGUCAGGAACCAGGAGCAAACAGGAAACACAGGAACAAGGAGACUUCUGGGGGACAGGAAACCAUGCAAGGGCAAGGAGGUUCUGGGAUUUGCUGCUUAAAUAGGCUGAACUGAUUAGCAGCAGGGUUGAUUACUAUUCUCAGGUGAGUAACCGUGGUAACAUGCUGAAGGAACUGAUCGUUAAUUACAGCUGAAACCUCAGACACUGAAAAAGGAAGGGUGGCUGUUUAAAACAGCAGAGAAACCCUGACAGUACCUCCCCCUCAACGACUCCCCCCAUCUCUGCUGGUGGGUCCGGGCUUCAUGGGGAAGCGAGCGUGAUAGGAACGAAGGAGGGAUGGUGCAUGGACAUCAGAGGCUGGAACCCAGGAGCGUUCCUCCAGUGCACCAAGUAUUGGAUCUGUCCUCUGAAGACUCGUGAGUCAAUGAUGCUGCGUAUUUCAUAUUCCUCAUGAUUAUCAACUGGAACAGGACGUGGACGUGGUACUGAGGUGGUGUAACGAUUACAUACCAACGGUUUCAAGAGGGAAACAUGGAAUACAUUAGAGAUGCGCAUGUUAGCAGGAAGGUCAAGUGCGUAAGCUACAGGGUUAACCCUUCGAAGUAUACGAAAUGGCCCAACGUAUCGGGGUGCCAGUUUUUGUGAGGGAACACGGAGCCGUAGGUUGUGAGAAGACAGCCAGACCCUCUCUCUGAUAGGUAGGUGCAGGAAGGCGUCUGCGGUCGGCCUGGAGUUUGUAGUUCUGCAUUGCGCAGCUACAAAGAGUUCUGAACCUGCACCCAAGUGGAACGGAGUUCCCUGAGAUGUUCCUCCAAUGCCGGUAUCCCCUGUGGCAUGAACGUAUCAGGCAAUAUGGACGGUUGAAAGCCAUAGUUCGCCAAGAACGGGGAUAGAAGGGAAGAGGCAUUAAACGCACUAUUGUGGGCAAACUCCGCCCAGGGUAGCAGAUCAGACCAGUUGUUCUGGUGGUCAGAAAUGUAGCAACGCAGAAACUGUUCCAGUGUUUGGUUAGCUCGUUCCGCGGCACCAUUGGAUUGCGGGUGGUAGGCCGAGGAGAAGGAAAGCUCAAUUUCCAUUUGUGUACAAAAAGCUCUCCAAAAUCUGGACACAAACUGGCUACCCCUAUCUGAGAUUAUCACUUUGGGUAACCCAUGCAAACGAAAGACCUCCCGAGCAAAAAUUGUUGCAAGUUCCUGAGAAGUUGGUAGUUUUUUCAAGGGAAUGCAAUGCGACAUCUUUGAGAAUCGGUCAACAACCAUGAGAACGACUGUAUUGCCACGGGAGACCGGAAGAUCUAUGAUAAAAUCCAUGGACAAGUGGGUCCAGGGUCGUUCACCAUUAGGUAUGGUUUGCAGGAGACCCACUGGAGGGUGUCGUGGGGUUUUAUUUUGAGCGCAUACAUGACAGGCAGCUACAAAAGCGGUGACAUCCGAACGGAGACUAGGCCACCAAAAUUGCCGAGAGACGAACCAGAUUAAUUGGUUUUUGCCUGGAUGUCCAGCUGCUUUGGGGUUGUGAUAUGUACUUAAUCAUUUAGUACGGAGAUGAAUAGGUACAAAACAACAGCCAUUAGGUUUCUCUGGAGGAGCAUUACUUUGUGCAGCCAGAAUCUCCUCGCCUAGGUGUGAGGUGAGGCUAGUACGGAUGGUGGCCAGUAUAUGGUCUGGAGGAAUCACAGGAGUAGGGGUUAUCUCCUCUCUAGAUGGAGGGGAGAACUGUCGAGACAAGGCAUCAGCCCGAAUGUUUUUAGUACCGGGCAAGUAAGAAACCACAUAAUUGAAUCUUGAUAGGAAGAGAGCCCAUCCAGCUUGCCUGGGGGAAAGUCGCUUAGCUUUGGAAAGAUAUGUAAGAUUCUUGUGGUCUGUCAGGAUGAGAAUUGGCACUGAAGUACCCUCAAGAAGGUGCCUCCAUUCUUUGAGAGCUAAAAUUAUGGCUAGAAGUUCUCAAUCACCAAUCUGGUAAUUGCAUUCCGCCGGGUUUAAUUUCUUCG